rnacentral:rRNA from 1 species
GGAGGGAUCAUUACCGAGUUUACAACUCCCAAACCCAAUGUGAACGUUACCAAACUGUUGCCUCGGCGGGAUCUCUGCCCCGGGUGCGUCGCAGCCCCGGACCAAGGCGCCCGCCGGAGGACCAACCAAAACUCUUAUUGUAUACCCCCUCGCGGGUUUUUUUUAUAAUCUGAGCCUUCUCGGCGCCUCUCGUAGGCGUUUCGAAAAUGAAUCAAAACUUUCAACAACGGAUCUCUUGGUUCUGGCAUCGAUGAAGAACGCAGCGAAAUGCGAUAAGUAAUGUGAAUUGCAGAAUUCAGUGAAUCAUCGAAUCUUUGAACGCACAUUGCGCCCGCCAGUAUUCUGGCGGGCAUGCCUGUCCGAGCGUCAUUUCAACCCUCGAACCCCUCCGGGGGGUCGGCGUUGGGGAUCGGCCCUCCCUUAGCGGGUGGCCGUCUCCGAAAUACAGUGGCGGUCUCGCCGCAGCCUCUCCUGCGCAGUAGUUUGCACACUCGCAUCGGGAGCGCGGCGCGUCCACAGCCGUUAAACACCCAACUUCUGAAAUGUUGACCUCGGAUCAGGUAGGAA